rnacentral:rRNA from 1 species
GACGAAGGGGGCUAGCGUUGUUCGGAAUCACUGGGCGUAAAGGGCGCGUAGGCGGCCGCUCAAGUCGGGGGUGAAAGCCUGUGGCUUAACCACAGAAUUGCCUUCGAUACUGUUUGGCUUGAGACCGGAAGAGGUGAGUGGAACUGCGAGUGUAGAGGUGAAAUUCGUAGAUAUUCGCAAGAACACCAGUGGCGAAGGCGGCUCACUGGUCCGGUUCUGACGCUGAGGCGCGAAAGCGUGGGGAGCAAACAGG